rnacentral:lncRNA from 1 species
GAACUUCUCAAUACAAAAGGUUGCUUACAUAGAACGCCUCAAGCACAAUCUCAGCAAUGUAGGUCAACUAUGCAAAGCAGGUCAUCGGGUUGAGUUUAAUAAUGAAUACUGCUACAUCAUGACAAGUGACAAAAGCACUUAUUUGAUCAAAUCUAUAAUGCCCAUGUUUCUGGGCUUGCCAUUUUUAACAAUGUAAUAGUCUAGGUUAACCUCUAUAACCCAAUUUGAAAUAAUAAGAAUGUAUUAUUUGUUAAUUAUGUGUUUAUUUUCUUAAUUAUUAUAAUUUAAUGAAUUAAGAAUAAAAUAAGCGUCAAAAUUAAAGUGUGAGUUAUGCCCGAUAUUGAUGCACGAAGUUGUAGUGGCCGAAAUGAGGUUUCUGAAGUUUCAACUUGGUAUGAGGAAGUUAUUAUUUUCUGAAGUUUCGACUUGGUAGUAUGCAACCCAAAUACACGAUUUGAGAUCGAGCGGUUUUUAGCCGAAACAAUCUAAACGAGAAUCGAAGAUCUCGUUGUUAGUAGCGAAACGAUGUAAAGUUAGGCGAGAACGGACGUCAGACGAAGAAGUUAUGAAUUUAUAACGAAGUUUUUCUGUCCCAGCCUUCUAAAAAUAAAUAAUAAAAAUAAAAUUCAAAAUCAACCGAUGGAGUCUAAAUGAAAGUUGUAGAGUAUGGUCUGACCUACGCGUGGAUAUAAAGAACGUCGAAAACGGAGCUCGUAUGCGAAAUUUACGCAAUUUAGAAAUUUGACGAGUGAAAUUACGCCGAGCGUAAUUUGAGUACGCCCAGCGUAGUCAGAGGGGUGCAACUUGUCUGACCAAUACUCAAGUGCCAAUAAAUGACGCAUGAAGUGACGUCGAAGUACGCCCAACGUAACCAAAUUACGCCCAACGUACUUGGAGAUUACGCCCAGCGUAAUUAGAAAUUACGCCCAACGUAAUCCCAGACCCAGCAGCCUAUAAAUAGAAACCGAUAUCAACCAUUUUCUCUUGUUCAAACUCUUUCAUCUCUCUAGUUUUUGCCUCGUUUUGUGUGCCAAUCAUAUCCCGAAGCCCCGGUAUCAUUCCCAAGCCCCGAAGCAAGUUCCGAAGUCCCGAGGAUCCCGAGAAGUGNAGUUCGAAGUCCCGAGGAUCCCGAGAAGUGAGAUUUCCGAGCCGAAGCCCUGCUCGUGAGGAGCCCGGUUUUUGUGAAGAUCUUCCAGAUCUACGGAGAAACACUACUUCUGCAAGUCUUAGUGUUGCCUGACCAUCUUCUGAUCAAGUGAGUGUAUAGUCCCUUUCAAUACACGAUAUUAUACAAGUAAUCGUUGCAUAUAUUUAAGAAUAUGGGUUGUGUGAGGGUAUUAUUAUUACCUUCUAACACAUAGACUUAUAUGAAUCUCGUUGAAAUUUCUUCUUAUGUGUAGACAUAUUACUUGCUAUUUGGAUGGAGUAUUGAAAGAGCAUGCUAUACAGUUUUUCUUUUAAAAAUUAUGUAUAAAACAUGUAUAUUUUUAUCUACUAAUAUGUUGGGUAGAACAUGGGUAGAUAGUUGGUGUGUAAUAAAAUAAAUUGAUGAGAGGCCUCGUUGUUGGUGUUAUUCUAGUCAUUCAGCAGAGUAUGGAUGACGACCACAGACUAUUCUAGAUAGUCCUGUGGAAUGCUAGCAGGCUCAUAACCUGUAGGUGUUGUGAACGAUGUGUUCACCGGUGUACUCUAUCCCCCACAUGGUUGCCUUUAGGACACUUAUUGUUGAGGAAGCCCCUCUGCAGUAAUGUCCGUCCCGAUGAAAAAUCCUAAAUUAAGUUCCUUAUAAUAGAUGUUGUUUUAGGGACGUAAAGUGAGGAUAACAGGAAUGGGUAAUCGGGUUAUUGUUGAUUGUUGAAAUUAAUAAAAUUAUUUAUUGUGGGUUGAAAACCCUAUAUGCUCACCAGGCUCCCAAGCCUGACCCACUCAGUUUAUUUAUAUUACAGGAAGUGGUGCAAGGGCAUAAGAUGGAUGAAUCAUCAAGUUGUUUUGUUUACAAGUCUGUAUAUGUAUAUAUUUGUUGAAUGACUUGUAAUGUUAUCGUUUAUGCUUUAUGAUCUGUAUCGGAACAUGACAUCCCGAUUUUUGAUUAUGAAAUGAAAUCAUAUUUCUUUAUGAAAUGUUUUGAUAAAAAUCUAUUUUAUCAUGUUUUGUUUUUGGGAACAAAUUCCGCAUCUCUUUUAAAAAUCAAAAGGAUUUACUCUGAAAAUGUUUAAAAAGCAUAAAUGAAACCGGUCUUUUCUGGCCGAGAUUUUGGGGAUGUCACAGUUGGUAUCAGAGCAUUAGUUUAAGCGAACUAAGAAUUUGUAGGAUUUCUAGACUUAAACUUAGAAUGCUAAGUGAAGGUUGUUAGAUGUGUGUCUGUUAUAUUUCAGACACGAGCACUAGUUUAUUUUCGGAAUGUUGUCUAAAAUGCUUUUUUGUGCUAAAUAUUAUAUGUUGCCAUAUAUGAUAUUAAUUGUUCGGAUCUAUGGUCUGUUGCCGACCGGAUCUGGAAACCUUAUGUGUGUAGGAUUCUAAGUGUAUGGUUACGAUAUUAGAACUAACAUGUAAACGUUUCAGAGUGAUAAGGAUGAUUUGAAUAUCUACCGUGAAUGAGGAUCUAAUUUCGCCUUAUUCGGCGUAUAGAUCAAAAAUGGUGAGAACAAGAAGCGGAGUUGGAAACGCGGAUGAAAACAGAAAUCAACCACCAGUGAUUGAGCAAAUACCAGUCGUAGCAGUAGCACCUGGGCCAAUAACAAUGGCUGGUGUACAAAUGAUGAUUCAAACGAUGUUGGAUCGUCAGAUGGAAGAAACAAGACGUCUGCUUAGGCAGAAUCGUGAAGAACCGUCAAUUCAAGUGGAAGAGCACGAGGAGAAUGGAGGGUAGUCUGAAGGAGGAAACUUUAGUGGGAUCGUUGGUCAAGACGAGCAACCGGUGGUUAGACACAACAACUAGUAUGGAGGAAAUGAUGGUCGUGGGUGCAAGUACAAGGAUUUCAUGGCAUCCAAACCACCAUGUCUAUCCGGAAGCCCGACGCCGGUGCAAGUUAUGGACUGGAUCUCCGAAAUGGAGACCAUGUUUGAAAGUUGUGAAUGCAGAAACAGGCAGAAGACCGCUCUUGCGAUCCCUCUGCUAAAAUCUGGCGUGUUUAGUUGGUGGAAGUUGUUAGCUGACUCUAUGCCCAAGGGAGAAGCAAGCAAAAUGUCUUGGGAAGACUUUGUGGAACAACUAAAACUGCAAUACUUCUCCGAGCAGGACCUUCUGGAAAUCAGUAAUGAGUUUCAGAAUUUAAAGAAGGGGAAAUUGAGCAUUACUGAACACGCUGCUAGUUUCACAAAAAAGAUGAAGUUUAUCCCAUAUUUGGUACCAACAGAACUCCCUAAGGUCAACAAGUUUGCCCAUGGACUACCAGCGGACUAUGGUCCAAUGGUUAAGCAAGCAACCACAUUGAAAGCCGCCAUCUGGGCUGCUAGAAAUGUUGAGACCCAGAUCAGGGAAAAAGGUCUGGAAAGGUCAGAGGUUGGUGAGAAAAGGAAAAUCGAUGGAUUUUCAGGGUCCAGCAAGAAAAGUAAAUUCUCAAAAUCUGGUUCGAGAGGAAGUGGAGGAAAGGUAGAGGCAAAAUGGUGCGACAAGUGCAAAAAGAAGCAUCAUGGGAAGUGUAGUGGGGAGGCCACAUGCUUCAAAUGUGGAAAGCCAGGGCAUUAUGCCAACGAUUGCACCCUCACCAAGAAUUUUUGUUAUGGUUGUGGUGAGGAAGGGCACAUCUCAAGAGAUUGUCCGAAGAAGAAGGAGGUAGCAAAACCCAACAUUCCACUAAGGCCGAAGGCGAGAGCAUUCCAGAUGACACUGGAAGCUGCCAAAGAUGAAGCUGAUGUCGCUUCAGGUACCUUUCACGUAAACAAAUUGCCUGCCCAAAUUUUAUUUGAUUAUGGAGCCAACUACUCCUUUAUUUCGCAUUAAUUUGUUAGAAAGCUAGCUUUGCCUGUUGAUAGACUAGAUAAUGCUUUAUUAGUCGAAGUUGCUAGUGGCAAGUUUGUACCUGUUAGCCAUCGUAUGAAAAAUAUCUUAAUUGACUUGAAUGGGAAUAAGUUCCACGAGGAAUUAUUGCCUAUAGAACUUAAUGGUUUCGACAUCGUGUUGGGAAUGGAUUGGCUUAGCGCCAAUGAUGCCGAAAUUUUAUGCAAGAAGAAAAUAGUGAAAGUNCAUUUAUGGUGUAUGGGGACAAACGCAGAGUAUGUUCUGGGAUCAUUUCCCUAAUGAAAUCCAGAAAGUGUUUGACCAAGGGGUGUACAUCAUAUUUGGCAUUCGUGAUCGAUGCUAAGAAGGAAAAGAAGGUGAUGCAGAAUAUUCCUGUCAUAUGUGAUUAUCCGGAAGUAUUUCCCGAAGAUCUUCCUGGAUUACCGCUCGAUCGGCAAGUAGAAUUUCGUAUCGACUUGUUGCCCGGAACGACGCCUAUAGCAAAAGCACCUUAUCGACUAGCACCGACGGAGAUGAAGGAGCUGAUGAUGCAACUUCAGGAGUUAUUGGACAAAGGUUUCAUUAGACCUAGUUCAUCGCCCUAGGGAGCUCCGGUGUUAUUCGUGAAGAAGAAAAAUGGAAGUAUGAGGAUGUGCAUCGAUUACAAAGAACUGAACAAGGCAACAAUAAAGAAUAGAUAUAUGUUGCCGAGGAUUGAUGACCUGUUCGAUCAACUACAAGGUUCAAGUUAUUUUUCAAACAUCGACCAGAGGUCAGGAUAUCAUCAGCUGAAAGUAAAAGAGCAGGAUAUAGAGAAGACUGCAUUCAGAACACGAUAUGGACACUACGAGUUUUUGGUUAUGUCGUUUGGACUAACCAAUGCUCCAGCAGCAUUCAUGGAUUUAAUGAACAGGGUUUGUAAUCNNNNNNNNNNNNNNNNNNNNNNAUAGAUGACAGAUUUACUCAAAGAGCCAAGAGGAGCAUGGCAGACACUUGUGAGAAGUGUUAUAAGUCUUGAAGAAGGAGAUGAUGUAUGCUAAGUUCUCCAAAUGUGAUUGUUGGAUUCGAGAAGUCCAAUUCUUGGGUCACGUGGUCAACCAAGAAGGGAUAAUGGUUGAUCCAGCAAAGAUUGAAGCUGUAAUGAAGUGGGAACAACCAAAAGGUCCCACGGAGAUCCGAAGCUUUUUAGGAUCAGCCAGAUAUUACCGAAGGUUUAUCCAAGGCUUUUCUUCGAUCGCUAGUCCAUUGACAACUUUGACCCACAAAGGACCUACUUAUGCUUGGAUUGAUAAGCAUAAAUAAGCAUUCGAGAAACUAAAGAAGAAGCUAUGCGAGGCACUGAUUCUUUCUCUACCCGAUGGGGUUGAAGACUUCGCUGUUUAUAGCGAUGCGUCUGGUGUUGGAUUGGGUUGUGUUUUGACCCAAAGAGAUAAGGUGAUCGCAUAUGCAUCUCGACAGCUAAAAGAGCAUGAAAAGAACUACCCGACUCAUGAUUUGGAGUUGGCAGCGGUAGUUUUCGCUCUAAAAAUCUGGAGGCAUUACCUCUAUGGCACAAAAUGCAAACUUUUUACUGAUCAUAAGAGUAUCCAAUAUCUCUUUAAUAAAAAAGAAUUGAAUAUGAGGCAACGAUGCUGGCUAGAGUUACUUAAGGACUACGACUGUGAGAUACUUUAUUACCCCGGUAAAGCUAAUGUUGCUGAUGCUCUCAGUCGGAAAGUCAAUCUUGAAAUAAAAAGGCCAGGAGCGUUGAGAAUUGAAGUUGUCUCGACCAUUGUGGAAAGUAUAAAGAAAGCUCAAGAGGAAGCUUCUGAGAAGAAUGACCGAAAGGAGGAACGUUUGGGCAAAACGUUGGUGUUCGGUAUAAACAGUCAUGGACUGAAGGUGUUCCAAGAUCGGAUUUGGAUACCUAAUUCAGGAGGAAUAAGAGAUCUUCUGAUGGAAGAAGCUCACAAAACCAUGUGCUAUAUUCAUCCUGGUAGCACAAAGAUGUAUAGGGACCUGAAACCCUAUUACUGGUGGCCGACGAUGAAGCUCGACAUUGCGAAGUAUGUGGCGGAGUGUGUGACUUGUGCGAGAGUUAAGACACAACAUCAAAGACCGUACGGGAGUUUAGAACCUUUACCUGUACCUAUGGUAAGUGGGAAGACAUUGCUAUGGAUUUUGUCACUAAACUUCCCAGAACAAAGAAUGGUCACGACAUGAUUUGGGUGGUCGUUGAUCGAUUCACUAAGAGUGCGCAUUUCAUAGCAGCCAAUGAGAAAUGGUCUAUGGAAAAGCUUUUGAAUUCUUAUGUGAAGAAAAUUGUGAGGCUUCACGGUGUUCCGCUAAUGAUUGUGUCGGAUCGUGAUAGCCGUUUCCCCUCAAGGUUUUGGAAAAGUCUACAAGAGGAAUUGGGUACCAAGUUGUGUUUAAGUACAGCUUACCAUCCGUAGACUGAUGGUCAGAGCGAACGGACGAUACAAACACUUGAAGAUAUGCUAAGAGCAUGUACCUUAGAAUUCCAAGGUAAUUGGGAUGAACAUUUACCAUUGGUAGAAUUUUCCUACAAUAAUAGUUUCCACUCGAGCAUUAAGAUGGCACCUUAUCAAGCUUUGUACAGGCAGAAGUGUCGUACGCCGUCUUGUUGGCUUGAGGCUGGGGAAAAGCAGUUUAUGGGACCAGAGAUAGUACAUCAAACUGCUGAAAAGUUGAAAAUAAUUAUGGAGAGAAUGUUAGCCGCUCAGGACCGUCAAAAGAGCUAUGCUGACAAAAAGCGAAGACCGAUGACUUUUGAAGUUGGAGAUUCGGUUUUGCUUAAAGUCUCGCCGUGGAAAGGACUUAUAAGAUUUGGUAAAAGGGGAAAGUUAAGUCCAAGGUUUAUUGGACCUUUUAAAGUUCUUCAGAGAAUUGGGAACCAAGCUUACAAGCUCGAAGUCCAAAAGAACUGAAUGGAAUUCAUAACACUUUUCAUGUGUGUUACUUGAGGAAGUUCACGGGAGAUGUUCCUGACAUGAUUCCACUUUCAGAGUUAAGAAUUGAUGAGAACAAAAGGUUGAUUGAAGAACCAGAGGCAAUCGUUCACCGAAAUACUAAAAAGUUGCGAUGCAAGAUGGUUGAGUUAGUGCUUGUCCGAUGGAAACACACGAGUGAGCCAAAUCUCACCUGGGAGACAGAGAGUGACAUGAUGAGUCGCUAUCCGCAUCUGUUUGCUGAUGUGUGAUUUCGGGGACGGAAUCAUCCGAAGGUGGGGAGAAUUGUAACGCCCGUGUUUCUGGGCUUUCCAUUUUUAACAAUGUAAUAGUCUAGGUUAACCUCUAUAACCCAAUUUGAAAUAAU